GAUAAACGCUGGCGGCGCACAUAAGACAUGCAAGUCGAACGGAAGUCGUUUUAGUGAGUUUGAGAUGAAAGAUUUAUCCGGAUUCAAAGAUGAACUAAAACAAUGGCUUUAGUGGCGGACUGGUGAGUAACACGUAAGCAACCUGCCUGUUAGAGGGGAAUAACAGCGAGAAAUCGUUGCUAAUACCGCAUAUGCCAUAAGAACCGCAUGGUUCAAGUGGGAAAGGAGUAAUCCGCUAACAGAUGGGCUUGCGUCUGAUUAGUUAGUUGGUGGGGUAACGGCCGUACCAAGACCGCGAUCAGUAGCCGGACUGAGAGGUUCAACGGCCACAUUGGGACUGAGAUACGGCCCAGACUCCUACGGGAGGCAGCAGUCGGGAAUAUUGCGCAAUGGAGGAAACUCUGACGCAGUGACGCCGCGUAUAGGAAGAAGGUUUUCGGAUUGUAAACUAUUGUCUGCAGGGAAGAAACAAGACUGUACCUGCAAAGAAAGCUACCGGCU
rnacentral:rRNA from 1 species